rnacentral:rRNA from 1 species
CACGUAGGCGGCCUGGUAAGUCAGAUGUGAAAGCCCGGGGCUUAACCCCGGAAGUGCAUUUGAUACUGUCAGGCUUGAGUAUGGGAAAGGGAAGUGGAAUUCCUGGUGUAGAGGUGAAAUUCGUAGAUAUCAGGAGGAACACCGGUGGCGAAGGCGACUUCCUGGACCAAUACUGACGCUGAGGUGCGAAGGCGUGGGUAGCAAACAGGAUUAGAUACCCUGGUAGUC